rnacentral:rRNA from 1 species
GAAAGUAAGCAAGGGCAGACGGUGGAUGCCUUGGCUCUCGGAGGCGAUGAAGGACGUGAUAAGCUGCGAUAAGCUUGGGGUAGGUGCAAAUAACCUUUGAUCCCAAGAUUUCCGAAUGGGGCAACCCGGCUGGUAGAAGGCCAGUCAUUCCGUAAGGAAGGCGAACGUGGGGAACUGAAACAUCUAAGUACCCAUAGGAGAAGAAAACAAAAGUGAUUCCGCAAGUAGUGGCGAGCGAACGCGGAACAGCCCAAACCGAUGAUGUUUAGGCAUUGUCGGGGUAGUAGGACCACGUUGUGGCAAGAGAUUAAUGAAGUAGAACGUUUUGGAACAAACGGCCGUAGACGGUGAAAGCCCGGUAUACGACUCUUUAACGAAGCCUAGUGGAAUCCUGAGUAGCGCGGAGCACGAGAAAUUCUGUGUGAAUCAGCGGGGCCCAUCCCGUAAGGCUAAAUACUCCCGAGAGACCGAUAGCGAACCAGUACUGUGAAGGAAAGGUGAAAAGCACCUCGAACAGAGGAGUGAAAUAGUCCCUGAAACCGUCUGCCUACAAGCGGUCGGAGCACAUUAAAGUGUGACGGCGUGCCUUUUGCAUAAUGAACCUACGAGUUACUUUCUCCGGCAAGGUUAAGGGCUUCAGGCCCGGAGCCGAAGCGAAAGCGAGUCUUAAUAGGGCGUGAUAGUCGGAGUGAGUAGACGCGAAACCAAGUGAUCUACCCUUGGUCAGGAUGAAGGUUGGGUAACACCAACUGGAGGUCCGAAUGGGUAUACGUUGAAAAGUGUUCCAAUGAACUGAGGGUAGGGGUGAAAGGCUAAUCAAACUUGGAGAUAGCUCGUACUCCCCGAAAUGCAUUUAGGUGCAGCCUUUAUUUAGUAUAGCAUGAGGUAGAGCGACUGAUUGGAUGCGAGGGCUUCACCGCCUAUCAAGUCCAGAUAAACUCCGAAUGCGUGCUAUAUAUUGAUAAGGAGUGAGGGCGCGGGUGCUAAGGUCCGCGUCCGAGAGGAGAAGAAUCCAGACCAUCAGCUAAGGUCCCCAAAUAACAGUUAAGUUGAACUAACGAAGUCGGACUGCAGAGACAGCUAGGAUGUUGGCUUGGAAGCAGCCAUUCAUUUAAAGAGUGCGUAACAGCUCACUAGUCGAGGAGUCCGGCGUGGAUAAUACUCGGGCAUAAACUGUUUACCGAAGCUAUGGAUGUAGAAAUACAUGGUAGGGGAGCAUUCCAACGGCGUCGAAGGUGAAGGAUGACCUUUGCUGGAGCUUUUGGAAACGCAAAUGUAGGUAUAAGUAACGAUAAAGGAGGUGAGAAACCUCCUCGCCGAAAGACUAAGGUUUCCUGAUCAACGUUAAUCGGAUCAGGGUAAGUCGGGACCUAAGGUUAAGCCGAACGGCGAUACCGAUGGAAGAAUGGUUUAAUAUUCCCAUACUACUUUAUGGAGCGAUGUGGAGACGGAGAAGUGAAAGUCCUGCCAUCUGACGGAAUAGGUGGUUGAAGAGUGUAGAUGUAGAUUCCUGUAGGCAAAUCCGCAGGGAGAGUCGACCUUGACAGUAUGCCGCGUGCUUGCACAAGGCAAAAUGGACGUAAUCAGGCUCCCAAGAAAAUCCGCUAAGCAUAUUCAUAAAGUACCCGUACCGUAAACGGACACACGUAGUUGGGUUGAAAAUACUGAGGCGCUCGAGUGAUUCACGGUUAAGGAACUAGGCAAAUUGACCCUGUAACUUCGGGAUAAAGGGUCCCUACUGAGAGGUAGGGCGCAGAGAAUAGGUCCAGGCAACUGUUUAACAAAAACACAUGGCUGUGCGAAAUAGAAAUAUGAAGUAUACAGCCUGACACCUGCCCGGUGCUGGAAGGUUAAGAGGAGAGCUCAUCGCAAGAGAAGGCUUGAAUUGAAGCCCCAGUAAACGGCGGCCGUAACUAUAACGGUCCUAAGGUAGCGAAAUUCCUUGUCGGGU